AGGGAAUCUUCCGCAAUGGACGAAAGUCUGACGGAGCAACGCCGCGUGAACGAAGAAGGUCUUCGGAUCGUAAAGUUCUGUUGUUAGGGAAGAACACGUACCAUUCGAAUAGGGUGGUACCUUGACGGUACCUAACGAGAAAGCCCCGGCUAACUACGUGCCAGCAGCCGCGGUAAUACGUAGGGGGCAAGCGUUGUCCGGAAUUAUUGGGCGUAAAGCGCGCGCAGGCGGUUCUUUAAGUCUGAUGUGAAAUCUUGCGGCUCGACCGCAAGCGGUCAUUGGAAACUGGAGAACUUGAGGACAGAAGAGGAGAGUGGAAUUCCACGUGUAGCGGUGAAAUGCGUAGAGAUGUGGAGGAACACCAGUGGCGAAGGCGACUCUCUGGUCUGUAACUGACGCUGAGGCGCGAAAGCGUGGAUAGCGAAC
rnacentral:rRNA from 1 species